UUUACGGAGAGUUUGAUCCUGGCUCAGGAUGAACGCUGGCGGCGUGCUUAACACAUGCAAGUCGAACGAUGAAGCCCAGCUUGCUGGGUGGAUUAGUGGCGAACGGGUGAGUAACACGUGAGUAACCUGCCCUUGACUCUGGGAUAAGCCUGGGAAACUGGGUCUAAUACCGGAUAGGAACGUCCACCGCAUGGUGGGUGUUGGAAAGAUUUAUCGGUCAUGGAUGGACUCGCGGCCUAUCAGCUUGUUGGUGAGGUAAUGGCUCACCAAGGCGACGACGGGUAGCCGGCCUGAGAGGGUGACCGGCCACACUGGGACUGAGACACGGCCCAGACUCCUACGGGAGGCAGCAGUGGGGAAUAUUGCACAAUGGGCGAAAGCCUGAUGCAGCGACGCCGCGUGAGGGAUGACGGCCUUCGGGUUGUAAACCUCUUUCAGUAGGGAAGAAGCGAAAGUGACGGUACCUGCAGAAGAAGCACCGGCUAACUACGUGCCAGCAGCCGCGGUAAUACGUAGGGUGCGAGCGUUAUCCGGAAUUAUUGGGCGUAAAGAGCUCGUAGGCGGUUUGUCGCGUCUGUCGUGAAAGUCCGGGGCUUAACCCCGGAUCUGCGGUGGGUACGGGCAGACUAGAGUGCAGUAGGGGAGACUGGAAUUCCUGGUGUAGCGGUGGAAUGCGCAGAUAUCAGGAGGAACACCGAUGGCGAAGGCAGGUCUCUGGGCUGUAACUGACGCUGAGGAGCGAAAGCAUGGGGGAGCGAACAGGAUUAGAUACCCUGGUAGUCCAUGCCGUAAACGUUGGGCACUAGGUGUGGGGACCAUUCCACGGUUUCCGCGCCGCAGCUAACGCAUUAAGUGCCCCGCCUGGGGAGUACGGCCGCAAGGCUAAAAACUCAAAAGGAAUUGACGGGGGCCCGCACAAGCGGCGGAGCAUGCGGAUUAAUUCGAUGCAACGCGAAGAACCUUACCAAGGCUUGACAUGUUCUCGAUCGCCGUAGAGAUACGGUUUCCCCUUUGGGGCGGGAUCACAGGUGGUGCAUGGUUGUCGUCAGCUCGUGUCGUGAGAUGUUGGGUUAAGUCCCGCAACGAGCGCAACCCUCGUUCCAUGUUGCCAGCACGUAAUGGUGGGGACUCAUGGGAGACUGCCGGGGUCAACUCGGAGGAAGGUGGGGACGACGUCAAAUCAUCAUGCCCCUUAUGUCUUGGGCUUCACGCAUGCUACAAUGGCCGGUACAAUGGGUUUGCGAUACUGUGAGGUGGAGCUAAUCCCCAAAAAGCCGGUCUCAGUUCGGAUUGGGGUCUGCAACUCGACCCCCAUGAAGUCGGAGUCGCUAGUAAUCGCAGAUCAGCAACGCUGCGGUGAAUACGUUCCCGGGCCUUGUACACACCGCCCGUCAAGUCACGAAAGUCGGUAACACCCGAAGCCGGUGGCCUAACCCCUUGUGGGGGAGCCGUCGAAGGUGGGACCAGCGAUUGGGACUAAGUCGUAACAAGGUAGCCGUACCGGAAGGUGCGGCUGGAUCACCUCCUUUCUAAGGA
rnacentral:rRNA from 1 species